AUACGUAGGGGGCGAGCGUUGUCCGGAUUUACUGGGCGUAAAGGGUGAGUAGGCGGUUGUAUAUGUCAGGUGUAAAAGGCUAUGGCUUAACCAUGGUUAGCACUUGAAACUGUACGACUUGAGUGCAGGAGAGGUAAGUGGAAUUCCUAGUGUAGCGGUGAAAUGCGUAGAUAUUAGGAGGAACACCAGUGGCGAAGGCGACUUACUGGACAUUAACUGACGCUGAGGCGCGAAAGUGUGGGGAGC
rnacentral:rRNA from 1 species